rnacentral:rRNA from 1 species
GACGAACGCUGGCGGCGUGCUUAACACAUGCAAGUCGAACGGAAAGGCCCUGCUUUUGUGGGGUGCUCGAGUGGCGAACGGGUGAGUAACACGUGAGUAACCUGCCCUUGACUUUGGGAUAACUUCAGGAAACUGGGGCUAAUACCGGAUAGGAGCUCCUGCUGCAUGGUGGGGGUUGGAAAGUUUCGGCGGUUGGGGCUGGACUCGCGGCUUAUCAGCUUGUUGGUGGGGUAGUGGCUUACCAAGGCUUUGACGGGUAGCCGGCCUGAGAGGGUGACCGGCCACAUUGGGACUGAGAUACGGCCCAGACUCCUACGGGAGGCAGCAGUGGGGAAUAUUGCACAAUGGGCGGAAGCCUGAUGCAGCAACGCCGCGUGCGGGAUGACGGCCUUCGGGUUGUAAGCCGCUUUCGCCUGUGACGAAGCGUGAGUGACGGUAAUGGGUAAAGAAGCACCGGCUAACUACGUG